CUUUUCUGGGAGUGAGAUCAAGAAGAGAGGGUGUCCCGUCCCAGCAGAUGGUGAAACCCCGUCUGUAGCAAAAAUACAAAAAUUAGCCGGGCGUGGUGGUGGGGAGCUGGCCCAUCAGGAGUUGGCAUGCAAAUGAGCCACGUGCCUCCCAGCGGGGGACCAGAGGCCAGGUCAGGGCAACAGCCUCCAGGGCUGCCCGUCAUGGGCUGUGGACUUUGUAUAGGCAUAAAUAAGAACCGGGACAAUUUCCAGGAGGGGAUUUGGGAGUGGGAGUAAGGUAAGGG
rnacentral:lncRNA from 1 species